AGAGUUUGAUCCUGGCUCAGAUUGAACGCUGGCGGCAGGCCUAACACAUGCAAGUCGAACGGUAACAGGAAGAAGCUUGCUUCUUUGCUGACGAGUGGCGGACGGGUGAGUAAUGUCUGGGAAACUGCCUGAUAGAGGGGGAUAACUACUGGAAACGGUAGCUAAUACCGCAUAACGUCGCAAGACCAAAAAGGGGGGACCUUCGGGCCUCUUGCCAUCGGAUGUGCCCAGAUGGGAUUAGCUAGUAGGUGGGUAACGGCUCACCUAGGCGACGAUCCCUAGCUGGUCUGAGAGGAUGACCAGCCACACUAGAACUGAGACACGGUCCAGACUCCUACGGGAGGCAGCAGUGGGGAAUAUUGCACAAUGGGCGCAAGCCUGAUGCAGCCAUGCCGCGUGUAUGAAGAAGGCCUUCGGGUUGUAAAGUACUUUCAGCGGGGAGGAAGGGAGUAAAGUUAAUACCUUUGCUCAUUGACGUUACCCGCAGAAGAAGCACCGGCUAACUCCGUG
rnacentral:rRNA from 1 species